rnacentral:rRNA from 1 species
GCAUAGGAAUCUGCCCGGUAGUGGGGGAUAACCUGGGGAAACCCAGGCUAAUACCGCAUACGUCCUACGGGAGAAAGCAGGGGAUCUUCGGACCUUGCGCUAUCGGAUGAGCCUAUGUCGGAUUAGCUUGUUGGUGAGGUAAUGGCUCACCAAGGCGACGAUCCGUAGCUGGUCUGAGAGGAUGAUCAGCCACAUCGGGACUGAGACACGGCCCGAACUCCUACGGGAGGCAGCAGUGGGGAAUAUUGGACAAUGGGCGAAAGCCUGAUCCAGCCAUGCCGCGUGUGUGAAGAAGGCUUUCGGGUUGUAAAGCACUUUCAGUGAGGAAGAAGGCCUUGGGGCUAAUACCCCCGAGGAAGGACAUCACUCACAGAAGAAGCACCGGCUAACUCCGUGCCAGCAGCCGCGGUAAUACGGAGGGUGCGAGCGUUAAUCGGAAUUACUGGGCGUAAAGCGCGCGUAGGUGGCGUGAUAAGCCGGUUGUGAAAGCCCCGGGCUCAACCUGGGAACGGCAUCCGGAACUGUCAGGCUAGAGUGCAGAGAGGAAGGUAGAAUUCCCGGUGUAACGGUGAAAUGCGUAUAGAUCGGGAGGAAUACCAGUGGCGAAAGCGGCCUUCUGGACUGACACUGACACUGAGGUGCGAAAGCGUGGGUAGCAAACAGGAUUAGAUACCCUGGUAGUCCACGCCGUAACGAUGUCUACUAGCCCUUGGGGUCCU